GAGGUUUUGUGUUUGCAGGUGUGGAAGUUUACACAAUGAUGAAUCGUGGAGCUCUUUGAAAGAACUUUGAAAGAAGGAAAUAUCUUCUGUCCAUGGCCAGUGCUUAAAGAUACCUGCUGCCUUCUGGAAUGAAUUGCUGCUAGAUAGAGGCUAAAGCCAUGCAAGAAGGAGAUCCAGCUUUUUCUCCAGGCUUGGAGAGCAAGGCCCUGGAAGCCAGAACAUCCCAUGGGUCAGCACCUGCUCUGUUAGAAAGGAUCAAGCCUGCCACAUUUGCCUGCAACCUGCUUUGCUUGCCCUUGGCUACUACAUUAUGGCUUUUUUUUUCCCCCAGCAGAAAGAAAACUCCAUGAAAACACACAAACAAACAAACAAACAGAUAAUCAAUAUGUUUUACUCCACAAGUAUCUAAAUUAUGUGGUGUAACACAUGAACAGAUAUUUUUCUUCUGUGGAAAAUAAAAUAAAAAGAUCUAGUAGAGUCUUGAUAGAAGAAUAUUUCAUAAAUGGGAUUAUUUCCCAUCGGAUUUGGCACUAAGAGAUCUGAAUGUGAUCAGCACACCUCAGACAUACAAGGACUUUGAGGGAAUGGCAAGCAUACACUAGGAAAGAGGAGCUAUUAAAAUUACAAGCAUGUGUCACAAGCUGGUGGUUUAAAUAAGCAUACAAAAAACACAAAAAACCUACAACAAAGUGUUCUGGGAGUGGUUCACACUAAUACCCGUGCCCUAGUCCACAAAUACACAGGAAUUGUAUACCUAAUACUUUAUUGUACCUUUGCUUAUUCAUUCUCUUUUCAGAAAUCUGUUGGU